rnacentral:ncRNA from 1 species
GGAGAAUUGUAGGCUUUUCUUAUACAAUACUUUAUUUUUCAGAGACAAUCCGCCAGGACGGCGGAUUGAGCUUGCUCUUGCCCAAGGAUGGGCAAUUGCAAGCGUUCUCGUCACUUACCAAUAAAUAAAAUGUAUUGUAUUAGAAAACCACA